rnacentral:tRNA from 1 species
GGACUGUGGCUCAGUGGUAGAGAACUUGCCUGGCAUGCAUGAGGCACUGGGUUUGAUUCCCAGCACCA